rnacentral:lncRNA from 1 species
UUUUUUCUAAUAUUAGUAUUUAUAUUCUAGAAUGUGUGGUGAUAAUGGAUAUAAAGUACUAAAUGGUGGCCCCAUUGCCGGCAAUGCUAUUUUUAGCAAUUAUCUCCUUAAAAGGCGCUUUUAAUAAACUAAUUAUGGAAAAACUGCUGUUGUCUAAUUGAAGCUCGAUAUCUAUUUGCGAUUUUACCGCACUCAAAUAUAUAUGGUCCCAUGGCUUUUCUUGGUGAAUUUUAGGGUUUUUCACGAUACCUGACGAUUUCGCAGAAAAAUUUCCCUAACUUUGAGCAACAUAAAAAAAAUAUUUCCGGCCCUUCAUACUAUACAUUUAAGGACAAAUUUGUGCUUGCAUGAAACUUCAUUCAUAAUACUUUCCAGAAGAAAAAUAUAUAAAAGAUAUAACAACCAAUCACAGAGAGCCAUCUAUUUUUAUCUCUAUGUCAUGUUCCCUUCAUAAAAUGGCUGCGCCCAUGUAAUUGUAUUUGGUACAUUGUAACCUAAUAAACAGAUCAGGGCAGACGAGCAGGAACUGCAACAGUUCCACCAUCUUAUCAUUUGCCCUGCCACACCCAUAUUUAACCCGUUGGGCCAAUACUGUCCAGUGAGUGAGGAGGUGCUGUACUCUAUACAAG